rnacentral:misc_RNA from 1 species
UGAGGCAAGACAUCGAGCACAGUAUAAAUAGGGAGGAAGAAAUGAAGUAUGCGAUGGGAGCAUUACAGUGGCAGUUGUCAGAUUCGCAGGAUGCUCAGCGUGCAUCACAAACUGAAAUUCACAAGGUACUCGAUGAAUACCAGUCUUUAUUGAGGACAAGUGACAGCUUGAGGGAGAAAAAAGAAGCAUUAGAAGAGGAAAACAGUGUUGUCAUCGCAGAGGCCAUGACGCUGGAGCACCUAUAUUUGUUGUUCAGGAGUUUCGGUACCGAGAGAGCG